rnacentral:lncRNA from 1 species
GCAGAGAGCGCUGUCUGCUUUCCACAGUUUCUGCUUUUGGAGGAGCACUCCCAGCUGCAGCCUUCUUGUCAGGUGCUUUCCCUCGUCUGCGGGGGAGCCUUCUCCCACUCCCCAGGUCCGCCGGUCCCCUCUCCAUCAAGCGUGCAACCUAGCUUCGAGGGAAGCGAGGGGACUCAGUGCAGAGGAGUUCCGCGGCGACGGGCAGCCGAGGCCCCGGGGCCCGGCCCGCUCCCGCGGCCGCAGCGCCGCCUCCAGCAACAGCCAGCGGGCGGCGCUCGCCCGGGCCGCGGCCGCCUGCGCCCUCCGCUCCCCCACGGGAGCGGCGCGAAGAGAAACUCCCUCUUCCCCACCCUCCGCCUUGCGGAGCCCCCCCUACCACCGCUCUCCUCGUGAGCCGCGACACAGAGGCGGCGGGGGCCCGAGCUGACGGCGACCCUCCGGCCACGCAGCCCCAGUGUCUUGAGUUACCCGAGGAGGGGGCCAGGCAGGCAGGCAGGCAGGGAGCGGGGGGGCGGAGGAGGAGGAGAAGGAGGAGGAGGAGGGCUGCGCGCGGCUGAAAGCCGCUCCUGCGAGAUGCUGCAAGCGCAGCUCCCCGCCGGAGGGGGGUAGCAGCCUCUGCCGCCGCCGGCUGCUGCCUGUGCGAGGGCUGUUGCCGCCGCUGGACGCAACCUCCUCCCGACAUGGAGCUGUCGCCGCCGCUGCUGGAGUGAGCGAGUGAGCGACGGGCGGAGCAGCCGGCCGCAUGGAUGGAUGUGUUUAGCUUUGUGAAGCUUGGGAAGCUCUCCGGCCACAGGAACAAGUCUUCAGGCUGGCCUCAUCCGUCAGGGACCUGGAGCUUGAACCAGGGGACACCUUAUGGAUGGGAGAUGACGGCAAACAGAGAUGGAAGGGACUACUUCAUCAAGUAAGUGGGUAGUGGGAACCGUGCACACCACAGCAUGGUGUUGCAGCACUACUCCUGACAAUACUUCCUCAGGACCCUAAUUGCAAUUUCAGCCUUACACAGUUCUUGUUUCACUGCUUGGUUUUAUUGCAGACUGAUAGCUUUGACUGUAUUUCACUGAGCCUUUUGUUUUAUUAAGCAAUGUUUUGGUACUUGGCUAUUUAAUUUACCCAAGCAAACACUGAUAUUAGGACCUGUAAUUCACAGAAGAAUUGCAACAAAUGUCAUUAACAAAAAAAAUAGAAAUAAAAAUGCCAUGUUUAAAGAGUGAGGCAAAAGGUCAGCUUUGACUAGGAUUAACUACUCUCCUCCAUUUCUGCCAUGUGAGCUCUUGUAGCUUGUCUAAUAUAUUCAUUAUACCAGUAAUAAGAAGGUGCUUAUUUUGAUUCUGUAUAGUUCUAAUUCUUAUAUAGUUCUAAUUCUAAUUCUUAAAUAGUUCUAAGAAUUCUAAUUCUUAGGUUAUCCAUAGUCUUUAAACUCUGGAUUUAAAGGUUUACAAAACAAAUGUCAGUGUGAAUUUAUCAUAAACAAAAUUGGGUUUCCUUUUCCCAGUAAAACCUAUACGGAAUUGUUCUUAAAAUUACUUAAAUGGCUUGGAUAAAUACAGUUUGCUCUUCGAGUACUUCUGUGUGGCUUUGGAAGCCCUUUGCUAAGAAUUGGAGGUGGAAAACUUGGUGCUGCAGCGUUAGUUACUUAUAUAUCAUUUUAAGGCCAGUGUAUAGAUUCUGCUCAUGUGAAGGGAUGUUUGUUGUUGUUACUUUUUUCCCAAUUAUUAAUUCAUGUUUAUGUUUAUCAUUCUGAUUAGAAACUUGCAAAUAUUUUAAGAUUUCCUACUUAAUCACAGAAUGACACACAGAAUCACUGUGAAUAUACUGUGAAUACUUGAGAAUUACAGCUCUUUCUUUUAACAUAGUACAAGGAUCAGACUCGCUUAAAAUUCACCAUUAAAAAGUCCUAAAUUUUCUCAAGAUCUUUAAUCAAAAAUAAUUCCACAGGGUAAGAUCCCCUUUCCUUUCCUUUGCAUUCCUCCCCCAUUUGCCCAGUGUGCACCUGGGCUUCCCAGGAGGCAAUUACUAUUGGAGCCAAAGCAGUAUUUGUAGCUGUGCGAUAACCUGAAAGCAACCAGGGUAAGGCUUUCAGGGUUUAGAGAAAUUUCAAACAUGUCCAAAUUGAAGCAAGUUGCCCGUGUUAAUGAGGGCUCGAAGCUGACUUUGAAAUGUCGCAUUCUUUCUGUUAGAGGUAUUUUGCUCUGCUUGUCUGUGAGACACAGGGUGCAGUGCUGGGCAGUGUGGUGCUGAAUGCCAGGCACAAUACAGCUAUAUUAGCAUAGAUUUUCUGCCUGAACUAAUUAGGCUUGUCAAGAAGCAUAGGUGAGCCUCAAAAGCACUGUGCUGAUGGGACUGUGCUACUUCUGUUACUCUAAUUACUGAGGGAACCUGCACCACUAAAAAUUGCAAAUGUAGAUGUGAGUAACCGAGAACUGCCUGGAGUGCAGUAGGUCUUUCUCGAUAUUGGAAACUACUCUUCAGGGGCUUAGAUUCUUUUUCUGCAGAAUUUCAGUGUGUUCUCCCCUGCCUGGCUGAGAAUCAUUUGAACAAUAAUAUCCAGCUUAUGAGGACGGUCGCCACAUUGGAUUCUUCCUCUUUUCUCACUGGUCACAUAACGGGAUGCUCUACUAGGCUAACUGUAAACAGCUGUGGCUUACAGAAUGCAAAGCAUUAAUUAUCAUUAAUUUUGCAAUUUGUGACCAUUUUCUAAUAUGCAAAUGGUAAUGAUCAUUUUGUUUGAGUUUUUGGAUUGCCUUUAAGUACCUUGAUGUGCCAUAACCCUCCCUUAAAUGCAGAAAAAAUGAGUCUAGGAACAAGACUCCAAAACAGGCAGUGCCAGAUGAUGCCAAAAGCAGUGUCAGAUUUUUUUGUUGUUGGUGGUGUUAUUUUGGUUCUGUUUUCAGUUUGUUUCUGUAUUCCUAUGUUGCUACAAGGUGCUUGCUCACAAUUCUCUUUGAGGCCCGAGGCUCCCAUUUAUCUCUGGGUGUAGAUUGCAGGUACAAAUCAUAGAAGUAAACUGACAAGAUCUUAGCCUUGGUUUUCAAAAAGAAUUUAAUAAAAAAACAUGGAUUUAGCAAAAUGACAUUUGCUGUAGUUCGUUUUCAGGGCGACCAUGAUAUUGAUCACAAAAAAAAAAACCCUCUGCCUCUGAAUCCACUUCCUACAGUCUGUGAAUUUUCUAGGGGCAGGAAAAACUUAUAAGCUUGAUGGCAUCUGUCACUUGAUUAAUUAAAUGUUUUAUGCUUAAAAUAUGUAACAAAAGCAAUGUAAUACAAACAUUACAUGAAUUAUGUGGUAUUAUUUCAGAAAUGUCUUGCUCUUUUUUUCAGAAGCUCUUUAUUUCAGAAGAGUCGUGCUCUUUCACAAAUUUCAAGUGUUCUAACACCAGUAACUGCUGUAAAAAUACAACAUACUCUAGAGGUACAUCUUUCCUGAGCUUCAGAUGUGAGGAUUUAUGAGAAAGCGAGGAUCUUCCUACAUAUCCAGUUGGGCGACCUUCACUCUGAAAAUGCAGACUGAUACUAGAAAAACUUUUCCAUGGAAAAGCUCUUCUUUGGCUUGUUAACUAUAGCUGUACCAAAAUAGUCACUUCUUGACCAAGCAGAGAAGAUCUAACCUAAGGCCUAGGUUUUACCUAAACUUUUCAGACCUAAUUCCAGGUCAUAUCUGUAGGUAUAAGUGUUUAUUCCCUGUCGCUUGUGACCAUUUCUCCUCAUGUUAUCUCGUUUUGGCCUAGAUCAUGCAAAAAAAGCCUCACUUGCUUUGCAAAUACCUACUAGAAGAGCUACCCAUUUAUCUAGGUAUUACCUUAUGUUCUUCAUACACUUCUUUCUUCUGUAUGCCACUUUUAAUUCUCCUUCCAAAACUUAAAAGAAUCAAAACGAUGGAUCCUUGCGCUGCAAAAUAGGUUGUGGUACAGUAGUAGUGAGGGGCUAAGGGAUGGUUUGCAUUGCAAAGCACAGGUAUGGUAUUGCAUCUGAACAGUCAUGUCCUAGGCAAGGACGUUAAUCAGAGCAUAUUCAAAUAACAAAAAGAGAUUGUACGAUGGCUAAUUUGUAUGAAAUUGGUAUCUGGGAGUAAAGUCUCUCUAGGUUAGAAUGAUGAAACAGCCCAGUUUGGAAUUGACCUCAAAAGACCAAGUCCAGCGUUUUGUGGGAAAAAAUGAGAAGAUGAGAUCAUCUAGCACCCUGUCCAAUCACAUCUUGAAAACCUCCAGUGAUGGAGAUUCCACCACAUCCUUGGGGAGGUUGUUCCAGUCAUUGGCUGUUCUCACUCUGAAAAAUUUUGUGCUGAUAGCAAGAUGGAGCCUGUCCUGGUGCAGCUUGAAUCCAUUGCCCCUUGUCUUCUCCAUGUGUCUCACUGUGAAGGGACAUCCUCUGUCCUCUUUGUAGCAAGCCUUCAAGUGCUAAAUAUGAUGCUGAGGCCCCCUUGAGCCUUCAUUUCUCAUGGGUGAAAAGACCUACCUCCUUCAGUCUUUCAUCAAAGGACUGCUUCUCCAGCCCUUUGAACAACUUUCUGGGCCUCAUUUGGACCCUUUCCAAUUUGCCCACAUCUUUUUUUUUUUUUUUUUUCAAAUUGCACAGGCAGUGCUCCAUGUGCGAUCUGACAAGCGCUGAGUAGUGUGGGAUGAUCACAUCUCUAUCUCUGCUGAUAAAGCUCCCAUAGAUGCAGCCCAGGAUGCAAUUAGCAUCCCAUGAUCACUGCUGACUCCUGUUCAGCUGUGGUCCCACAAGGUCCCCAGGUCUUCUCCAGCGAGGCAGCUCCAAGCCACACAGAUCUCUGCCUGUACCGUGCUCUUUGGGUUCAUUGUCCCAAAAGCAGGACCUGGCUCCUGUCUUUGUUAAGCAUCACACAGUUCUUGCUUGCCCAUUCCUUCAGCCUGGCCCAGUCUCUCUAUAAGAUGGCUCUCCCUUCUAAUGUUAAGUAGGCGGGAAAACUAGAAAGAACUCUGUUUCCAUACAAAGAGUCCCUUUUUGAAGGGAAAUGUCCUUUUUUUUUCCUUUUUCUUUGCAUUAAUAUUCAGGGAGGGAGCCAAGGAUGUAAAAUUCUUGCUUCUAUCCUAUCACAUAUUUCUGUGUGUCACAGUUGCUCUUUUAGUAAUGUCCAGAAUCCCCAAGCGUGGCCUGUACAAAGCCAAGAAUUUAUCAGGCUUGCAAUGUCUCUUGAGAUCUAAUUGGGGAUUUAGCAUCAAAUUUGUACCCACUUAAAUUACCUUAUGGGGAUGUGUUGCAGUUGUCUGUAUUGAAAGCUAAUGUACAGUGUUGUUAGUAAGGCUGAACAUAUUCCAACUGUAAUGAAGUCAUACUAUCUGAAAAACAGGAGCUGUCAUCGCAGUCUCUAAUUAUUUGUCUAAAGAAAAGCCCUCUUUGGUUUUCAAAACAACUGCUUUUGCUACCGCUAAAUGAAACUAUGUAAAUGAAAACGGUAUUAAGUUCUCUUCCCUUCUUCUUUUGCCUCUGGAUUGUUGACAGUUAUGUCAAUAAAGGAAGAAGAAAGAUCAGUGAGAUAGCAUAUCAGAUUGUCUCCAAGGGUUUUUAUAGCCAUACAGAUUAACAAAUUGCAUCACACUGAAGGAGAAAAAGCAAUUCAAAUUCUCUGCUUGGCUUUGAUUAAAGAUGUAUAAACCAGGUAUUAUAACAAAGAAAUGUGCACAUGAGUUCUAGGCAAGCAAAUAACAUAAUUCAUAGCAACAUUAACUGCUUUUUAGUUAAAUAAUUUACUUAGUGCCAUAUGUACGUAUCCAUUCAACUGCAAGCAGACAUACUGUAAUUUUGAAAUUGUGGGAGGAAUAGAGAAUCCAGGAGAAUCUCUUUGUGAAAUGAGAAGUAAUUAUAUAGUGUCACUGCAAAUGCUUUAAGGCGAGAAUGUGAAGAGAUGUUUAUUCUUUCUGCUGACGCAGAUUUUGUUUCUUUCAAACCUAUGAAAGCCUCUAUGGCCCGAGCUCAUCAGUGGGACUCCCUGUGCCAGGCAGCACUUCGGUUAAGCUGUGAGAAGAGUCUUUUAUCACAGUGUUUUGGAGUGUCACUAUCAAUUCAUUAUCUCUCUGUACAAAUGGCACAGCCGGGGUCAUUUUGAAAACCUCUAGAAUACUUUUCUUCAGUUUAGGCCAUGGUGAAUUAAAGUUUCAAAACUUACCCUUUCUCUUUAAACUUGCCACUUUUACUUGAAAUAGCUUUAUGAGAUAAGUAAUUCAUUUUAGUACGAGAGAAGAGCAGUCAUCUUGUAUUUAUCCCGCAUAUUUCUGUACAGCACAGGCUGUAUUAAGCUAGACGUUCAAUAUAAAAUAGUUUGCAGUGUAUACAUAAUCAUUUUCUAAACAUUUAUUACCAUACUGUGCGGCGUAUAGCAAUGAGAAAUUUCUUCAAUGCUUAUACACGAGCAUGAAUCUUAAUAAGAACGUAUUUGGUGUGAUUGGAGGUUUCAAGGGGAUAUGCAGAGCAGGAGUACUUUGGCUGGUUUUGUCCAUUUUGUUUAGCCUCAUGGCAAUUUCAGCUUGCCUAAGUUUCCACUGCUGUGAUCUUACCAACUGUCUGACCUGCACGGUUUCACCCUUUCCCUUGUGUCAGUUGUAAUGCCCGUCAGACCUGGAGAGGAGUUGAUAGAGGGAAAUAAACUGGCAAAAGCUAAUAAAAAAUCAAUCCUGCAGAGAAAGCAGUGAAUUUUAUGUCUGUGUAACCUCAGCCAGUUUUAUGCAUGGUCAGAUAGAGUCACAGGGUAAUUGAGAAUGGAAGAAACCUCUGGAAACCAGCGGGUUCAACCUCCUACUCAGUGCAUGGCAAAUGCCAUAAGGUGACACUAUUGACUGAUAUGAGGACAGGUUGACAACAGGAUUGUGUUGCCUUAAGCUGCCUGGCAAUGGCACAUUAAGGCAUGGGCUGAAGCAAUGUUUGCUGCCAUGGAAAGUCAUGACUUUUUGGUUCCUAUUUAACUCCUGAGGUAUUCGGUCUUUUGAUGUUUUUGUGGAUCUAUCAUUCAAAUAAUUCUUGUUCUUUUGGUAUGAUGUGGAUGCUGGUAGACAAGAAGCUGGACGUGAGCCAGCAGUGUGCACUUGCAGCCCAGAAGGCCAACUGUGUUCUGGGCUGCAUUAAAAAAGGGGUGGCCAGCAGGGAGAGGGAAGUGAUUGUGGCCCUCUGCUCAGCUCUUGUGAGGCCCCAUCUGGAGUACUACGUCCAGGCCUGGGGCCCCCAGUACAGGAAGGACGUGGAGCUCUUGGAGCGGGUCCAGAGGAGGGCCACUAAGGUGAUCAGAGGGCUGGAGCACCUCUCCUAUGAGGAAAGGUUGAGGGAACUGGGAUUGUUUAGUUUGGAGAAGAGAAGGCUCCGGGGAGGCCUCAUUGCAGCCUUCCAGUACUUGAAGGGAGCAUAUAAACAGGAAGGGGAACACUGUUUAUGAGUGUGAAUAGUGAUAGGACAAGGGGGAAUGGUUUUAGUGGGGCAGGGGAGGUCUAGGUUGGAUAUUAAGAAGUUUUUCACACAGAGGGUAGUGACGCACUGGAACAGGUUGCUCAAGGAGGUUGUGGAUGCCCCAUCCCUGGUGGCAUUCAAGGCCAGGCUGGAUGUGUUACUGGGCAGCCUGGUCCGGUGGUUAGUGACCCUGCACAUAGCAGGCGGUUGAAACUCAAUGAUCAUUAUGGCCCUUUUCAAUCAUCCUGAGUGCGUGCUGUUGCUUUUUACUGGUGCUUUUGUAUAUAGUAACUUUCAGGAUUCUUCCAGAUGUGUCUGCAAACCUUUCCUCCUUGGGAUACAUUAUUUUGAAGAUAAUGUUGUCAGUUCCAUGAACUUAGGAUCGUGAAAUCAUUGCAUUUUGGUUGUCCUUGCUUGGCUAAUUUCUUCAUUGACAAGGUUACUAUGAAAUGCUUGUAUGACAACUUUUGUCCUAUCUGUAAACUGAAGGUGAUGUGUUUGUGUUCUUUAGUAGCCAGUGUACCUCAUAAUAUCUCAAAGCAUGCACCAUACGAUAUUUCUUUAUCAUAGAAUCUUAGAAUCAUUAAGGUUGGAAAAGACCACUAAGGUCAUCUAGUCCAACCACAUAAUAGGAUGUUCUCCUAUACUCAAGGACUACCAAUGUAUUUAGUCUGUGUUUCACUCUUCCACUGCUUGCUCUGCAACAGAGAGGAAAUUCAUCCACAUUUUCUGAGCAGUGGAGUUCUUCAAUAUGUGUUGCAUGCAUCCUGUCUGGCAGUCACUCCUCCCUGUACACACCGUUCUCAGAGCUAGCCAGCAGUGCGGGAUGACAGAACACAGUCAUUGAUAAUAUUAAUGACAAUAUCAAUCAAGCAUCCUGCUUAUUAAGGAUGCUAAUUUAUACCAGAUGCAAAAAUGAGGCUCACAGCAGGCUAAUCAAUUUACUUCAAAAUAAAUAAGCACAGAAGAGGAUCAGUUCAAACCAUUUACUUACUCUUUUUUUUUUUUUUUUCCCCCUAAUAUCACUUAUCCAACUCCAGCCUUCUUCUCCAUAAGUCUGCAGGUUGUAUGUGCCUGUUGGUAGUUCAGUCCUUUAUCAGUGUAUUUCUCUGGGGUUUGCUCUAUUAGAAGAAUUCUGAAAACACAGCAUGUGCCAUGUCGUGGAAGCCGUGACUUAGGUUACAGCAUUGUUCAUCUUCCUGGGUUUUGCGAAGGCCACUGCUACUUGUAUCUGAGGUUUACCUUUAGUACAUGAGACGGUAUUAAGUGUUUCGUUCCACAGGAGCCACCUUCUAACCUGAAGGUAUUAUGUUACAGCACUUUGCUAAAUACAUGGCAUUCAUUCAGCUCUAGA